GGUGUAAUUGCUGGACCAUAUGGUUAGACUAUGUUUGGCUUUUUAAGAAACUGGCAAACUGUUUUCUAAAGUGGAUGUACCAUUUGCAUUUCUACUAGGAAU
rnacentral:pre_miRNA from 1 species